ACGCUGGCGCUGCUUUGGCCAAUGAGAGCACGAGGACGGUUAUCGAGUUUACAAUCUGUUUGGGGGAUGGUGUGUUACAAAUGGAAACGACUGUGUGUCUUUUACGAAUGAUGAGUGGACAUCCAGCUGUCCGUAAACCCCCAAGACUCCCAAGGUGUGGAGGAGCGCGUGAGCAUCCAGGGCUUCAAAGAUCAACUCUCACUUGAAACCAUCUUCAUUACUAAUGUGGCAAAUUCCGAGAAACGCAUGAGAAAUCGGAAUUAUCGCCAUAUCUGUGGAUUCGCACGUCACAGCGUAGGCAAAUAUCGAGAACGGAAUCUUUUCCGAGUCUGGAAAUCCUUGAACAAACUGGCGAAUUCCUUCACAUGUUGUCCGCGUGUGCUUCACCCCGAGUGCACGGCGUUCUUGCAGAUGCGACGCUGCUUUGCUCCGAUUCUUCUCCCAGAUUGUCCAAACAAGCCGUCGUAGACUGCCAGGCGCCAGCGCCGUGACGUCACCCAUUCAUCCGAGCCCUGACGCCUGUCAGCCUGGCGCCGCGAGGGCGGUCUCUAUGGCAACUACAAACAACAGGCUGGGUCCACUCCGGUCUCCCCCAUUCACCUGCGCCGCGCGGAGCCUGAGAACAAACUGGCUGCUGCCACCAGUGUUCAUUUAUCACGCGAAACCUCUGAUGCGAUUACUGCUCCGCGCACCUGCAAACGGCCAUUGUCGCCGGCUUGCUUCGAGAGUCCUCCUUUGAAAACGCAAAAGGGGAGACAGAGUUUCAAGUCUAAAAGAAACACUGAAAAAACGAAGCGAUGCAAGCUGGGUCACAGCUGAGCGCAGCGCGCGGGGAGGGCGGAGGAGGCGCAGAACAAUGGCUGCGCAGUGCCCGGGACUGUGAGAGAGAAUGCCGGCUGGAGCCAGCGAGUCUGAAGCCCCCUCCGCUCGUCCAUCCAGCUUUUGUUCAGCUGCACAAGCUAUCAGCACUUCCUACCGACGCCAACAAUAAGCCUUCACAGCUGGUCUGUCCACAGCCUGUUUACUGCACGUCAAGGCGGAGUUAGGGAGUGGGAGAGAGAGAAGAUGAAACAUAUUGCACGAAGUGCAGCCUCCCUGUGCGCACAUGCACAUAAGAACCCAGAAAAAAGAUCAACAAGUGAUCUUGAUUAAGGGGGGGGGG